CAUGACAACAGCGGCCUCACCGACCUGCUCUCUGACCACUCGGUGUGUGCACCAAGGAGCCAACAGGGAGGAAACUCCAGACUGUCUUGGGAGUUUCAGAUCCUCCUCUCUGGAUGCCUGUGAGAAGCAAGGUUGUUUCUCUUUAAGAACUGUGACAGCAGCCGGACAGGAGGACCUCAGGGAAUUCUGUGAAAGCGGGGCACCAGAGGCAUCAAGGACAGCACAAGAAAACCCACAGAAUCAACUAACUUGGGCUCAUAGGGGAUCUCGGAGACUGAAUGGACGACCAGGGAGCCUGCACGGGACUGACUUAGGCCCUCUGCAUGUGUAUUACAGCGAUGCAGUUUGGUCUUCACGAAGGACUCCUGACAGCGAGAGCAGAGGUUGUCUCUGACUCUAUUGUUGGCUAUUGGGGACCCUUUCCUCCUACUGGGUUGUACAACAGAAUGUAAAGAGGAGACAUGUUCUGUAUUGUUUUGGCUUGGAGAGCGAUUUCUUCCAUUACUAAACAUUUAACAUGCUUUUAUGAAGUCUAUUCACUAUGACUUUGGCAAUUAACAUUACUUCCAAAAACAAAACAAAACACCAGAAAGAUGUAUUUGCCAUAGAUUGAAG
rnacentral:lncRNA from 1 species